GGCCGCCUGGCGUAAUGGCAACGCGUCUGACUACGAUGCCCUCUUUGUCCCGCAAAGAACAGCCCGUAAUCAGGAGAUUGCAGGUUCGACCCCUGCGGUGGUCA
rnacentral:tRNA from 1 species